GUAGCCCUGUGGUGUUCGUGGAAGGGGUGUAGUGUCUUGAGCCAACACUUUGUACACCCGCCGGGGCCUUCUCCGUUCCGGUGAUGACAGCCCUCGUUGGCAGUCUGAUUCCAAGGUUUGGGGGGCCCCAAGAUUUUAGGAAGCGGGUCAAGGCCUUCCCCUCACGGCAUUGCGGGGUUAAC
rnacentral:other from 1 species